rnacentral:rRNA from 1 species
UACGUAGGAUGCAAGCGUUACUCGGAUUUACUGGGCGUAAAGCGUGUGUAGGCGGUUUUUUAAGUCUGGUGUGAAAUCCCUGAACUCAAUUCAGGAACUGCACUGGAUACUGGAAAACUAGAAUAUAGGAGAGGUGGGCGGAAUUCCUGGUGUAGAGGUGAAAUUCGUAGAUAUCAGGAGGAACAACAGAGGCGAAAGCGGCUCACUGGACUAUUAUUGACGCUGAGAUACGAAAGCGUGGGGAGCAAACAGG